rnacentral:lncRNA from 1 species
GCCAUUUCUUCAAGGAUCCCUGGUUUCUUUUAGUGCUAAGUGGUACUUAGAAGCCAAGAUCUGAGCACCAGAUGUGCUCAUUGCCUUGGGGAAAGUGCCACUCCCAGGCCUUUUCAGGGGACACAUUUAGAGAACAUUAGUAUAUACAUACCUACAUGUUCCUAUUUAAACUUCUGUAUCUAUUGAAAUCCAUGACAUCAUACAGAUGCCUCCAAUUCUAACAAUACUGUAGGGCUCCAUCCUUCUCUUGACAUUGAGGAACUGGGUCUCACUAGCUCUAAGAUAUUUAAAUUAUUUGAUCAAUCUCCCUGUAUGUAACCAAUCUCUCAUCACCACUGCUGCCCCUCUCCCACAUGGACAUCCUCUUUGCACUCCUAAGGCUCUGACACUUCACACCUGGCUGCUCCUAUCAUAGAUGCCCCCUUUACCCUGUUUGAGCUCCAACACCCUCUGCUGGCUUGCCCGCACUGCCAUGGACAUCCUUCUCUCUCGUACUGCAUUCUAGGCUGCCCUCACAGAUGGAUGCUCUCCACACCUCACUUGGGCUCCAGCACUCAACACUGGACCUCCUCUGUGGCGUGGGAAUGCUCUACCCUACCUAGCUCUGACCCACCACUCUGGGCUACCCACAUAUGUUUUAAAAGUUAAUAGAAGUGGAAUUUGAACCUGAGAUGUAAAAAUGAGCCAAGAACAAGGUCUCAGAAAGCCUCCUGGUAACUUCUGUCUAUUGAUUUACUAAAAGAGGAAGAAAAACAUCAUAAAAACAAAAGAUGAAGAGGAAAUCUUCACUUUUUUUAGACUUUUCCAUCUUCAUGUCUGUUGUCAAGUAUUUUGUCAAGAAAUGCAUUAUAACCUCAUUUAAAAAAAUAAACAGAACUUAUGAAGCAAUUCUCUUGGAGAAUAACUGGAAUAGUUUCUAGCGAUGUUUCAAAAGACAGACUCACCUGCCUGGUGUUUUUGUAGGUCUGGUGAUGGUCUGUGUUCAGCUGAGCAGAAUGAAACAGCGCUGACAGACAGAAGACACCUCACCCUCUGUCUUUCACUUUGGCAAAGUGGGCAUCUGAUUUACAGGACUGGGAAAUAAAACACACACACAAAACCUAUACCUCUUUUGGCUUACCGUAUGUUGUUUCAUCAUCAACUGGCUCACUUAACCAUGAAUGUGAAAGGUUGAAAAGCUUAUUUAAAUGUGGGCUACUGAACUUUCCUGGGGCUACAAGAACUGAUACUUUGUUCAGCCAUUACACUCAGUGAAACUCUCUUUUUAAAUGAACCUCGUUUCACAUUAUACAAACUGGACCAGACUGGCUGGAAAGGGCAGGAGGCUCCCUGUGCAGGCCCACGGUGGAAGGGGGCCAGCGUGAUUGCAGACAGGGUCCCCCUCUGCUGGAAAGCUUCCAAUUCUCUAACUACCAGCAUCUUCCAUUUUCCCUAUUAGCUUUCUCCUGUGAUAAUUUUUCUACUUUUACCUUGUAAACCAAAAAUAAGAUUCACAGCCCCCUGACCAUCUGAACGGACCCCUCCUCUUGGCAAGGGCAUUCCAAAGCUAACCUGAAAAACUAGCUCAGGCCAUGAUGGGAAAGAGGAGCUGGACAUGCCUCGUUAUGCCCUAUUCCCUUUUGGAAUUA